rnacentral:rRNA from 1 species
AUUGAACGCUGGCGGCAUGCUUUACACAUGCAAGUCGAACGGCAGCAUAGGUGCUUGCACCCGGUGGCGAGUGGCGAACGGGUGAGUAAUAUAUCGGAACAUGUCCGGAAGUGGGGGAUAACGUAGCGAAAGUUACGCUAAUACCGCAUAUGCCCUGAGGGGGAAAGGAGGGGAUCGCAAGACCUUUCGCUUUCGGAGUGGCCGAUAUCGGAUUAGCUAGUAGGUGAGGUAAAGGCUCACCUAGGCGACGAUCCGUAGCUGGUCUGAGAGGACGACCAGCCACACUGGGACUGAGACACGGCCCAGACUCCUACGGGAGGCAGCAGUGGGGAAUUUUGGACAAUGGGCGCAAGCCUGAUCCAGCCAUGCCGCGUGAGUGAAGAAGGCCUUCGGGUUGUAAAGCUCUUUCAGCUGGAAAGAAAUCAUGCUUACUAAUACUAAGUGUGGAUGACGGUACCAGCAGAAGAAGCACCGGCUAACUACGUGCCAGCCGCCGCAGUAACAC